rnacentral:lncRNA from 1 species
GGACAAAGAAGCCCCAGUGAGUCCUGAACAGACUUGAAGAAGAUGGUGCAGGACAGAGCAGCAAUAUUUCGGGAAUUACCUUCAUCCCCAGGGUCUCCCUGAGGGAGUUCCUGCCCCACCCUCACUGCCCCAGGAUGCCUUCUUGAAGCCCCCAGGUCCACCUUCCUGAUGCUGUCCACUCUG